rnacentral:tRNA from 1 species
GCCCGGGUGGCGUAACCGGCAGCCGCCGGAGGCUUAAACCCUCCUGUCCUCACGGACGUGCGGGUUCGAAUCCCGCCCCGGGCA